GUGGUCUUUAAUUUCCUGAAAUUGUUCAUGU
rnacentral:piRNA from 1 species